rnacentral:rRNA from 1 species
GAUGAACGCUGGCGGCGUGCCUAAUGCAUGCAAGUCGAGCGAACGGACGAGAAGCUUGCUUCUCUGAUGUUAGCGGCGGACGGGUGAGUAACACGUGUAUAACCUACCUAUAAGACUGGGAUAACUUCGGGAAACCGGAGCUAAUACCGGAUAAUAUUUUGAACCGCAGGGUUCAAAAGUGAAAGACGGUCUUGCUGUCACUUAUAGAUGGAUCCGCGCUGCAUUAGCUAGUUGGUAAGGUAACGGCUUACCAAGGCAACGAUGCAUAGCCGACCGGAGAGGGUGAUCGGCCACACUGGAACUGAGACACGGUCCAGACUCCUACGGGAGGCAGCAGUAGGGAAUCUUCCGCAAAGGGCGAAAGCCUGACGGAGCAACGCCGCGUGAGUGAUGAAGGUCUUCGGAUCGUAAAACUCUGUUAUUAGGGAAGAACAUAUGUGUAAGUAACUGUGCACAUCUUGACGGUACCUAAUCAGAAAGCCACGGCUAACUACGUG